CAGAUGCCUUUUCUUCAACUGUGGGCCCAUAAUGGGUGCUGGUGCAUAGAUGGAUCCUGCCAGGCAGAAAAACUCCACCACUUCUGUUCCCAACAGAUGUAAAGGCUGGGAUGCACAAAGGCUCUGCCUGAGAACUGCUCCUGGGCACACCAAGGGCACUUCCACAACUUGUGCCCCACCUUGCACUGAAGCUGCAGGAAGGAGUAGCCAGAACAGAGGACCCCUCAACUGCCCAACAAAGGAUUACAGGCCUUGGAUGGCAUGUGCAAGAGAAAACUGAGGGAUCACCAGGGCCAAGCCUCUUCUCCAAAGGCUGAUGUCCUGGUGAUGUCCUGUUUCUUCUGCCUUCUAUCCCCAUAUCUGAGUUGCUGAAUCCAGUUACAGAAUCCAGCUUCUGGAUCUGGUUCCCACCUGCUGCUGAGUCCAAUCUGAGAUUUGCCCAGUGCAUGCCACCAGCAUCAUUGCCAAUCAUAUCAUUGCCUGAGGACUUGAGUUCCAUAUUGGUUUGUGUCCCUAUUUCACGUGACUGUUCUUCUUCCCAUCCCAGAUGAUUGAGUUUCUUUCCCAUUCCAUCAGUCUCUCUCCAUUCUUUCCUUUCUCUUCCCUUCAUGAAGGCACUUGUCCUAGUCCUGACAGCUGUCAGUGGUCCCCGUGGGCCCUUACCAUUCCCUGUCACACCUUCCUCAUAGGUAGAGAAUGUCAUGAUCCCUCUUUUGACACUCCUUGGGGUUUAUAUCAUGGAACUAAGACCUGGUUUCCAUUGGAAAAAUGCAGAGAAGUUCAUGAACAGAAAUUUAUUUCUCACCUUUCCAUGGAGGAGUGGACAAAUGGAAGGAAAUCCAUGGAUAAAUCCCUCCUCCACUGGAGGUACUGGCAACCUUCAAUGGCAGGACAAACCUUCCUUAUCCAAAGACUUUAGAACUUAUCUGAUCACAUUCUGAGCAUGCUACAAAAAAGUUGAACUUAUUUUGUUGUACCUUUAAUUGCAAUCCAGAAAUUCUUUUAAAAUUGCACUAGAAGUACAAUGCAAACAGUUAAGAUCAUUAAUCAAUAUUAAAAAAGCAUGGACAGUGUUGUUUAGAGUA